rnacentral:rRNA from 1 species
CAGUCGAGGGGCAUCAGUUUGGUUUGCUUGCAAACCAAAGCUGGCGACCGGCGCACGGGUGAGUAACACGUAUCCAACCUGCCUCAUACUCGGGGAUAGCCUUUCGAAAGAAAGAUUAAUAUCCGAUAGCAUAUAUUUCCCGCAUGGGUUUUAUAUUAAAGAAAUUCGGUAUGAGAUGGGGAUGCGUUCCAUUAGUUUGUUGGCGGGGUAACGGCCCACCAAGACUACGAUGGAUAGGGGUUCUGAGAGGAAGGUCCCCCACAUUGGAACUGAGACACGGUCCAAACUCCUACGGGAGGCAGCAGUGAGGAAUAUUGGUCAAUGGACGCGAGUCCGAACCAGCCAAGUAGCGUGAAGGAUGACUGCCCUAUGGGUUGUAAACUUCUUUUAUAUGGGAAUAAAGUGGUCCACGUGUGGAUUUUUGUAUGUACCAUAUGAAUAAGGAUCGGCUAACUCCGUGCCAGCAGCCGCGGUAAUACGGAGGAUCCGAGCGUUAUCCGGAUUUAUUGGGUUUAAAGGGAGCGUAGGCGGAUUGUUAAGUCAGUUGUGAAAGUUUGCGGCUCAACCGUAAAAUUGCAG